GAAGUGGGCUGGACGGUCGCUGCUGUGGAGGUCUCCGUGACUGAAGCAGGGGAGGAAAGUCCGGGCUUCAUAGGGCAAGGUGCCAGGUAACGCCUGGGCGGCGAAAGCCGACGGCAAGUGCAGCAGAGAGUAGACCGCCUCAUUCGUGAGGUAAGGGUGAAAGGGUGCGGUAAGAGCGCACCGCGUGUCUGGUAACAGUUCACGGCAAGGUAAACCCCACCAGAAGCAAGACCAAAUAGGAAUCCUGAGGCACGGCCCGUGCUGGAUUCGGGUAGGUCGCUUGAGCGUAUGAGUGAUUGUACGCCUAGAGGAAUGACCGUCCUCGACAGAACCCGGCUUAUAGGCUCACUUCUAAG
rnacentral:RNase_P_RNA from 1 species